CAGAUUUACAUCGAUAUUAUCAAAGAUGAGUUUACAAUUUUUAAAGAUUUUAUUGCGGAAAACGCAACUUUGUAACUUUGGUGUCGCAAUGGUAUAGAAAUGAAAUUAAGUUGAAAGAAUAUAUCGAUAUAUCGUGGAACUCGAUGAUAUUAAACGGUGAAUUAUUUUACACGGCGACACAGAGAGAGUCGAAUCGAUUUUCGAAAGCCAAUAUAUAUUACUAACGCUUAUAUAUGCAUACUUUGUUACAUGACGAGCUCUUUAUCUUUGGAUUUUUUCAUUUUUUGACCGUAAGUUGGUUAAGGUGGCUGUUGUAAACUGACGGAAAGAAUACCGAUAUUAAUGCAACCAAUUAUGCUUAAAGUAGUAAAUAUUUGUACAUAGAUACGUUCGGAUAGAUAUCGGAUAGUAGCUUUUAACUUCAAAGUUUACACGUGAAAGAUAACGAUAACGUUAAUUGCAAUAUUUUGAGAAAAGCAUCCUAUUGUACACAGAUAUAUUUACUACUAGAUGAUCUUUGUAUAACUGAGGAACUAAUUAAAGAAGUUCAUUGAGAAAAACGGCGGAUACGGAGGUAAGUGUAAGAAGUACCGCACCCGAAAAUCUGACAUCGAUAGGAAUUUUACAACGAAUCGUAAAAAUGCUUGAUAGUUAGUUUAGAAGUUGGCGGUAUAUAAGAUCUUCAUAGAGAAAACGAUAAAACAUCAAACAGAUUUUGACAGGUAGAUACCGUUGCGAGUUAUUUUCCAAAAUGAACAGCUGGUAACUCGCGCUUACGGAAAAGGUGAUUAUUAUAACCGUGAGAACGUAUAGCGAUAAGAUAUACGAACCGAUUGCUAAAUAUCGUGCGAACAUUAACAGUUUCGCCGCUUCAUGGCACCAUGCGAUACCGAGAGUGUAACGAAUAGACAGGGAACGAACGUAAGGAAAAAAGACUUACCGUUCGAAAGAUGCAUCGGAGGACGGGACCACGUGUUUAACCGUGAAAUACAAGUAGCAGUGCACCACGAAGAUGCACCUCGAUGAUGCA